rnacentral:rRNA from 1 species
GGAUCAUUACAGAGUUGCAAAACUCCCUAAACCAUUGUGAACGUUACCUAUACCGUUGCUUCGGCGGGCGGCCCCGGGGUUUACCCCCCGGGCGCCCCUGGGCCCCACCGCGGGCGCCCGCCGGAGGUCACCAAACUCUUGAUAAUUUAUGGCCUCUCUGAGUCUUCUGUACUGAAUAAGUCAAAACUUUCAACAACGGAUCUCUUGGUUCUGGCAUCGAUGAAGAACGCAGCGAAAUGCGAUAAGUAAUGUGAAUUGCAGAAUUCAGUGAAUCAUCGAAUCUUUGAACGCACAUUGCGCCCGCCAGCAUUCUGGCGGGCAUGCCUGUUCGAGCGUCAUUUCAACCAUCAAGCCCCCGGGCUUGUGUUGGGGACCUGCGGCUGCCGCAGGCCCUGAAAAGCAGUGGCGGGCUCGCUGUCGCACCGAGCGUAGUAGCAUACAUCUCGCUCUGGUCGCGCCGCGGGUUCCGGCCGUUAAACCACCUUUUAACCCAAGGUUGACCUCGGAUCAGGUAGGAAGACCCGCUGAACUUAAGCAUAU